CUGGGCGUAAAGAGCUCGUAGGUGGUUUGUCGCGUUGUUCGUGAAAACUCACAGCUUAACUGUGGGCGUGCGGGCGAUACGGGCGGACUAGAGUACUGCAGGGGAGACUGGAAUUCCUGGUGUAGCGGUGGAAUGCGCAGAUAUCAGGAGGAACACCGGUGGCGAAGGCGGGUCUCUGGGCAGUAACUGACGCUGAGGAGCGAAAGCGUGGGGAGCGAACAGGAUUAGAUACCCUGGUAGUCCACGCCGUAAACGGUGGGUACUAGGUGUGGGUUCCUUCCUUGGGAUCCGUGCCGUAGCUAACGCAUUAAGUACCCCGCCUGGGGAGUACGGCCGCAAGGCUAAAGCUCAAAGGAAUUGACGGGGGCCCGCACAAGCGGCGGAGCAUGUGGAUUAAUUCGAUGCAACGCGAAGAACCUUACCUGGGUUUGACAUGCACAGGACGCCGGCAGAGAUGUCGGUUCCCUUGUGGCCUGUGUGCAGGUGGUGCAUGGCUGUCGUCAGCUCGUGUCGUGAGAUGUUGGGUUAAGUCCCGCAACGAGCGCAACCCUUGUCCUAUGUUGCCAGCGGGUUAUGCCGGGGACUCGUAGGAGACUGCCGGGGUCAACUCGGAGGAAGGUGGGGAUGACGUCAAGUCAUCAUGCCCCUUAUGUCCAGGGCUUCACACAUGCUACAAUGGCCGGUACAAAGGGCUGCGAUGCCGUGAGGUGGAGCGAAUCCUUUCAAAGCCGGUCUCAGUUCGGAUCGGGGUCUGCAACUCGACCCCGUGAAGUCGGAGUCGCUAGUAAUCGCA
rnacentral:rRNA from 1 species